AUUGAACGCUGGCGGAAUGCUUUACACAUGCAAGUCGAGCGGCAGCGCGGGGCAACCUGGCGGCGAGCGGCGAACGGGUGAGUAAUACAUCGGAACGUGCCCAGACGUGGGGGAUAACUACUCGAAAGAGUGGCUAAUACCGCAUACGAUCUGAGGAUGAAAGCGGGGGAUCGCAAGACCUCGCGCGUCUGGAGCGGCCGAUGGCAGAUUAGGUAGUUGGUGAGGUAAAGGCUUACCAAGCCUGCGAUCUGUAGCUGGUCUGAGAGGAUGAUCAGCCACACUGGGACUGAGACACGGCCCAGACUCCUACGGGAGGCAGCAGUGGGGAAUUUUGGACAAUGGGCGCAAGCCUGAUCCAGCCAUGCCGCGUGAGUGAAGAA
rnacentral:rRNA from 1 species